UCACCAUGUCCGCUGUCUUCUUAUGAAAAGGAUUACCACGUGAAGAAAGUCCUGCACACAGAACAUGCGAACGCAGAAGCAAAGACUAGCAGGUUGGGUCGAUAAACUAUAAAGCACCCAAGACUUUCUGACCAUCCAGGAGCUGGGAGAGGCAUGGAGCCCAGAGUGAGCUAAUACAGUGAGUGCUAUGUGUUCAGACCCUUUAGAUGCUAACCAUGGUCCCUCAUGGGUCACAGAGAUUUAGGUCAUUUACUGGAGUCACUAGAGUGAGUGGCUUAUGCAAAUGUCAGUUUCAGGAACAGUUAGGUCUGGCCAGAUUUUUUCAGGACAGAAAAUGGUUGAACUUCACCACCACAGCGAAGGCUAAAAAUGGUUGGUGACGCUGUUGACUCCUUAUCAAGCUACAAGACAGGUUCUCUUCUCUCGCCUUCUAGUCACUUCCCAUUUGCUGAUGAGACUGGAGACCAGAGAGGUGUGAGCAGCAGAGGGAGGAAGCUGUUGAGGUUACAGCUCACAUGGGACCCCCAUUCCAACUCCAGCCCCCCCAACUUCAUUUUAAAAGGAACCUUUCAAACAUUUUGCAAGAAUCUCCUUCUAAUGGAUGUUUGAAAACUCCAGUGUGUGUCAGUAUGAGCUUCAUUCUAGAGGUGGAAUGUGUUGGGGGUUUUUUGUUUGUUUUUUGUUUUGUUUUGUUUUGUUUUUACCAGUUUCAAAGUGAACUACAGAGCAUCAGUGUGAUUUCAUAAUCACCUGUCAGGUAGGACUGCAUUUCCAGGUAGUAUCAUUGAAGUCUACUAUUUAAAACUUGCUGGGAGGGGGUGGGGGGCUGAGGAUAUAGCUCAGCUGGCAGCAUUCUUGCCUAGCAUGCAUGAAACUCUGGGUUUGUUCUCCAGCACUGCUUAAACCAGGCAUGGUGACAUUCCUGUAGUUCCAGCA
rnacentral:lncRNA from 1 species